GGUGAGGUAACGGCCCACCAAGGCGACGAUCAGUAGCCGGCCUGAGAGGGUGGACGGCCACAUUGGGACUGAGACACGGCCCAAACUCCUACGGGAGGCAGCAGUGGGGAAUAUUGCACAAUGGGGGAAACCCUGAUGCAGCGACGCCGCGUGAGCGAAGAAGUAUUUCGGUAUGUAAAGCUCUAUCAGCAGGGAAGAAAAUGACGGUACCUGACUAAGAAGCCCCGGCUAACUACGUGCCAGCAGCCGCGGUAAUACGUAGGGGGCAAGCGUUAUCCGGAUUUACUGGGUGUAAAGGGAGCGUAGACGGUGAAGUAAGUCUGGAGUGAAAGGCGGGGGCCCAACCCCCGGACUGCUCUGGAAACUAUUUGACUGGAGUGCAGGAGAGGUAAGCGGAAUUCCUAGUGUAGCGGUGAAAUGCAUAGAUAUCGCGCAGAACUCCGAUUGCGAAGGCAGCAUGCCGGCUCCACACUGACGCUGAGGCACGAAAGCGUGGGUAUCAAACAGGAUUAGAUACCCUGGUAGUCCACGCCGUAAACGAUGAUCACUAGGUGUCGGUGGGUAUGGACCCAUCGGUGCCGCAGCAAACGCAGUAAGUAUUCCACCUGGGGAGUACGUUCGCAAGAAUGAAACUCAAAGGAAUUGACGGGGGCCCGCACAAGCGGUGGAGCAUGUGGUUUAAUUCGAAGCAACGCGAAGAACCUUACCAGGUCUUGACAUCCCAUCGAAUAAAGGGUAAUGCCUUUAGUCCUUCGGGACGAUGGAGACAGGUGGUGCAUGGUUGUCGUCAGCUCGUGUCGUGAGAUGUUGGGUUAAGUCCCGCAACGAGCGCAACCCUUAUUGUUAGUUGCUACGCAAGAGCACUCUAGCGAGACUGCCGUUGACAAAACGGAGGAAGGUGGGG
rnacentral:rRNA from 1 species